AACGGAUGUAGCAAUACAUUAGUGGCAGACGGGUGAGUAAUACAGAGGAAUCUACCUAGCAGUGAGGGAUAACCCUGGGAAACCAGAGCUAAUACCACAUAUUACCAUUUAUUUGGGAAAGAUUUAUCGCUGUUAGAUGAGCCUCUGCCGGAUUAGCUUGUUGGUAGGGUAACGGCCUACCAAGGCAAUGAUCCGUAGCUGGUCUGAGAGGAUGAUCAGCCACACUGGAACUGAGAUACGGUCCAGACUCC
rnacentral:rRNA from 1 species